GUGCCAGCCGCCGCGGUAAAACGUAGGAUGCGAGCGUUAUCCGGAGUUACUGGGCGUAAAGGGUGUGUAGGCGUCCCGGUAAGUCUCUGGUGAAAGCCUUCCGCUCAACGGAAGAAUUGCCAGAGAUACUGUCGGGAUUGAGUCCGGGAGAGGGGAGCGGAAUUCCUGGUGUAGCGGUGAAAUGCGUAGAUAUCAGGAAGAACGCCAGAGGCGAAGGCGGCUCCCUAGCCCGGUACUGACGCUGAGGCACGAAAGCGUGGGGAGCGAACGGGAUUAGAUACCCCGGUAGUCCACGCCCUAAACGAUGGAUGCUAGGUGUUGGAUCCGAGAGGAUUCAGCGCCGAAGCUAACGCGUUAAGCAUCCCGCCUGGGGACUACGGCCGCAAGGCUGAAACUUAAAUGAAUUGGCGGGG
rnacentral:rRNA from 1 species